rnacentral:rRNA from 1 species
AUUGAACGCUGGCGGCAUGCUUUACACAUGCAAGUCGAACGGCAGCGCGGGCUUCGGCCUGGCGGCGAGUGGCGAACGGGUGAGUAAUGCAUCGGAACGUGCCCAGUAGUGGGGGAUAGCCCGGCGAAAGCCGGAUUAAUACCGCAUACGACCUGAGGGUGAAAGCGGGGGACCGAAAGGCCUCGCGCUAUUGGAGCGGCCGCUGUCGGAUUAGCUAGUUGGUGGGGUAAAGGCUUACCAAGGCGACGAUCCGUAGCUGGUCUGAGAGGACGACCAGCCACACUGGGACUGAGACACGGCCCAGACUCCUACGGGAGGCAGCAGUGGGGAAUUUUGGACAAUGGGGGCAACCCUGAUCCAGCCAUGCCGCGUGCGGGAAGAAGGCCUUCGGGUUGUAAACCGCUUUUGUUCGGGAAGAAAUCCUCUGGGCUAAUACCCCGGGGGGAUGACGGUACCGGAAGAAUAAGCACCGGCUAACUACGUG